UACGGGGGGUGCGAGCGUUGUCCGGAAUCACUGGGCGUAAAGGGCGCGUAGGUGGUUUGAUAAGGGUGUGGUGAAAGUCCGGGGCUCAACCCCGGAUCUGCCGUGCCGACUGUCAAACUCGAGGGCUGUAGAGGCAGACGGAAUUCCGGGUGUAGCGGUGGAAUGCGUAGAGAUCCGGAGGAAGACCGGUGGCGAAGGCGGUCUGCUGGGCAGUUCCUGACACUGAGGCACGAAGGCCAGGGGAGCAAACGGG
rnacentral:rRNA from 1 species